rnacentral:rRNA from 1 species
AGUGAACGCUGGCGGUAGGCCUAACACAUGCAAGUCGAACGGCAGCACAGUAAGAGCUUGCUCUUACGGGUGGCGAGUGGCGGACGGGUGAGGAAUACAUCGGAACCUACUUUUUCGUGGGGGACAACGUAGGGAAACUUACGCUAAUACCGCAUACGACCUACGGGUGAAAGCAGGGGAUCUUCGGACCUUGCGCGAUUGAAUGAGCCGAUGUCGGAUUAGCUAGUCGGCGGGGUAAAGGCCCACCAAGGCGACGGUCCGUAGCUGGUCUGAGAGGAUGAUCAGCCACACUGGAACUGAGACACGGUCCAGACUCAUACGGGAGGCAGCAGUGGGGAAUAUUGGACGAUGGGCGAAAGCCUGAUCCAGCCAACCCGCGUGGGUGGAGAAGGCCUUCGGGUUGUAAAGCCCUUUUGUUGGGAAAGAAAAGCAGCAGGUUAAUACCCCGCUGUUCUGACGGUACCCAACGAAUAAGCACCGGCUAGCUUCGUG